UACGUAGGUGACAAGCGUUGUCCGGAUUUACUGGGCGUAAAGAGCGCGCAGGCGGUCGAUCAAGUCGAGUGUGAAAGCCCCCGGCUCAACUGGGGAGGGUCAUUCGAUACUGAUCGACUCGAAGGCAGGAGAGGGUAGUGGAAUUCCCGGUGUAGUGGUGAAAUGCGUAGAUAUCGGGAGGAACACCAGUGGCGAAGGCGGCCCUCUGGUCCAGUACUGACACUCAAGUGCGAAAGCGUGGGGAGCAAACAGG
rnacentral:rRNA from 1 species